UAAACGACUGCGGCGCUACAUAAGACAUAGCAAGUCGAACGGAACUUGUACCAUUAGUUUACUAUUGGUAGCGGUUAGUUGGCGGACUGGUGAGUAACACCGUAAGUAAACCUUAGCCUAUCAGAGGGGAACGAACAGUUAGAAAUGACUGCUAAUACCGCAUAUGCCAUAACCAUCGCAUGAUGGAAGUGGGAAAGGAGAAAUCCGCUGAUAGAUGGACUUGCGACUGAUUAGAUAGUUGGUGGGGUAAAGGCCUACCAAGUCGACGAUCAGUAGCCGAACUGAGAGGUUAAACGGCCACAUUGGGACUGAGAUACGGCCCAGACUCCUACGGGAGGCAGCAGUCGGGAAUAUUGCGCAAUGGAGGAAACUCUGACGCAGUGACGCCGCGUGCAGGAAGAAGGUUUCCGGAUUGUAAACUGCUUUAGACAGGGAAGAAAAAAGACAGUACCUGUAGAAUAAGCUCCGGCUAACUACGUG
rnacentral:rRNA from 1 species